CAGUCGCCGCGGGAAUACGUAGGUGGCAAGCGUUGUCCGGAAUUAUUGGGCGUAAAGGGCUCGCAGGCGGUUUCUUAAGUCUGAUGUGAAAGCCCCCGGCUCAACCGGGGAGGGUCAUUGGAAACUGGGAAACUUGAGUGCAGAAGAGGAGAGUGGAAUUCCACGUGUAGCGGUGAAAUGCGUAGAGAUGUGGAGGAACACCAGUGGCGAAGGCGACUCUCUGGCCUGUAACUGACGCUGAGGAGCGAAAGCGUGGGGAGCGAACAGGAUUAGAUACCCCUGUAGUCCCUGUCUCUUAUAC
rnacentral:rRNA from 1 species